AUUCCGUGUUCUUUAUCGCGUAACAUUUAAAAACGGCGCGUGAAGUUUUCGUUGUGGGUGAUCAUCAAAUUGUCAAAUUUGUUGACUCUUCUCUAACGUAAAAGAGAAAUAUUUAUAUAUAUACUGUCUAACUAUAUAUAAUAUAUUCGAAUAUAUGUAGACAUUAACUUUGACCUUAUUAAGUAAACAGUAACACAUAGGGAAGGGAGGAUAUGUAUAAGCAGAUGAUAUUCGAUAUUUGUGAUUCAGUGAUUUCAUGACUUUGAAUGAUGUUUUAACUAAUAAUAAAUUUUUUUAUAUUAACGGCUCAGUGAAACAAACGAACUUUAAUGAUAUAUAAAAAUAUAAUAAGAAUGAAAACGAAACUGUGUUUUAUAUCCAGAAUAUUUCAAAGUUUGCUUGCUAUUGUAUACCUAGAAGGCCGAUCGGAUUAAGAAGCUGUGACGUUCUACUGAACUAAACAGAUGGCACGAGUCGAGGCUUCGCCCCAUCAUUGUCAAAAAUACAACGAAUCGUUGCAACGAGGGAGACGAGAAAGAGGCGCAGAUGUUGAAAUAUCGUUUAGCCUUCGUUUAGAAAGUGGAAUAACCGUGCCACGAGAUGGGAAUGCGAUAAGUGGUAACAGUCGUUUAAGAUCAGACGGCGUGUCUCCUUUUACUCGCGUCAAGAAAAAUAAAUUUCAAUUCUAUUAUGUUUGUUAUUAUUACUUUCUUGCUUUUCUUGGUGAUAUUCGAUUACAGCGAGCACAAUUUCGAAAUUUCGAAUCCAAGUAUGAUCCUUAUGUCGUAUUCUCCGGGAUUUAACCGUGAUAUCAUUUUAUUUUUUUUUAAAAAAAGAUCCAGAUACGAUUGUAAAUUGCACGAUAGCAUGUGCGAUUAUUUUCGGUUCACCGUGGUCGAGUUCUACGAAACCUCUUCUCGUCGUUCUUACGCACGACCCAUUUUUGAACUGUCGCGAUUUUUAGAGAAUCCUCAUCGUUUAAUAAUUUUUUAUUUUCAUCGUUUAAAAAAUUUUUUUAAAGCUAGAAUUAGAAUUGAAACAUAGCCGAAGAAUUCUGAAUUGUAAACUAUAUUACCUUGGUUCGCAUAAAAAUUAAAAAUACUAAUUAAUCAUAUUUGCUUUAAUAUAGAUACAACAAUAUAGUUAAUCAAAGAAAGAAAUAAACUUAUUUAAAGUAACAUAUAUAAUUCUAUUUGUAUAAUAAGUAAAUAUUUAUACAAAAUCAAAUCAUUAUGACUCUGAACAUUAUUGUACAUUUAAAUUUGUAUAAACGCGUAAACAUUUAAUAAUAAAAUUCGAAGCCUCGUGUCGCUCAUACAAGUUAAGAGAAUAAAAGUUAUUUUGAAA